GUGCUCGCUUCGGCAGCAAAUAUACUGACAUUGGAAUGGUACAGAGAAGAUUAGCACGGCUCCCACGCAAGGAUGACACGCAAAUUUGUGAAGCGUUCCAUAUUUUU
rnacentral:snRNA from 1 species